rnacentral:lncRNA from 1 species
AUCGAUUGGUCAAUGAAAUCGGACAAUUCAGGUUCGUACGAAGUUCGUUCUGAAAUGGGGUGGUUGGUGUGUUGUAUAGUUCUAGAGAUUGGAUUUCACUCAAAACCCACCAAAUGACUCCUCCCACAAUAUUGUGAUGUUCCCCAAGUUUUGGACUCAAUCCGAUAACGAUUGGUCCUUGAAAUCGGACAAUUCAGGUUCG